rnacentral:misc_RNA from 1 species
GAGAAGAACGUAGCGAAAUGCGAUACGUAGUGUGAAUUGCAGAAUUCAGUGAAUCAUCGAAUCUUUGAACGCAUAUUGCGCUCUCUGGUAUUCCGGAGAGCAUGCUUGUUUGAGUAUCAGUAAACACCUCAACUUCCAUAUCUUUUUUGAAAUGGGAGUUGGACUUGAGUGAUCCCAACGCUUUUCCUCACCGAAAAGUGGCGGGUUACUUGAAAUGCAGGUGCAGCUGGACUUUUCUCUGAGCUAUAAGCAUAUCUAUUUAGUCUGCCUAAAAAACAGAUUAUUACCUUUGCUGCAGCUAACAUAAAGGAGAUUAGUUCUUGUGCUGACUGAUGCAGGAUUCACAAAGACAGGCUUCGGCCGACUUUGUAAACUCGAUCUCAAAUCAAGUAAGACUACCCGCUGAACUUAAGCAUAUCAAUAAGCGGAGGA